AGGAAAGUAGGGGAUCGCAAGACCUUGCGCUUUUGGAGCGGCCGAUGUCUGAUUAGCUAGUUGGUGAGGUAAAGGCUUACCAAGGCGUCGAUCAGUAGCUGGUCUGAGAGGACGACCAGCCACACUGGGACUGAGACACGGCCCAGACUCCUACGGGAGGCAGCAGUGGGGAAUUUUGGACAAUGGGGGAAACCCUGAUCCAGCCAUGCCGCGUGAGUGAAGAGGGCCUUCGGGUUGUAAAGCUCUUUCAGCCGGAACGAAACGGUCACAGCUAAUACCUGUGACUACUGACGGUACCGGAAGAAGAAGCACCGGCUAACUACGUGCCAGCAGCCGCGGUAAUACGUAGGGUGCGAGCGUUAAUCGGAAUUACUGGGCGUAAAGCGUGCGCAGGCGGUUUUGUAAGUCAGAUGUGAAAUCCCCGGGCUUAACCUGGGAACUGCGUUUGAAACUACAAGGCU
rnacentral:rRNA from 1 species